rnacentral:rRNA from 4 species
GUGACCACAAGUUCAACGGCCGCGGUAUUUUGACCGUGCAAAGGUAGCGCAAUCACUUGUCUUUUAAAUAGAGACCUGUAUGAAUGGCCAAACGAGGGCUUAACUGUCUCCCUUUUCAAGUCAGUGAAAUUGAUCUACCCGUGCAGAAGCGGGUAUAACGAUACAAGACGAGAAGACCCUUUGGAGCUUAAGGUACAAAACUCAACCACGUUAAGCAACUUAAUAAAAAGUAAAAACUUUGUGAAACAUGAGAUUUUACCUUCGGUUGGGGCGACCGCGGAGGAAAAAAAAGCCUCCAAGUGGACCGGGACAAACUCCUAAAACCAAGAGAAACACCUCUAAGCCACAGAACAUCUGACCAAACAUGAUCCGGCCACCAGGACCGAUCAACGAACCAAGUUACCCUAGGGAUAACAGCGCAAUCCUCUCCCAGAGUCCAUAUCGACGAGAGGGUUUACGACCUCGAUGUUGGAUCAGGACAUCCUAAUGGUGCAGCCGCUAUUAAGGGUUCGUUUGUUCAACGAUUAAAGUCCUACGUGAUCUGAGU